AAGUCGUAACAAGGUUUCCGUAGGUGAACCUGCGGAAGGAUCAUUAGUGAACGCCCUUUUUGGGCUUAUAACUAUCCAAACCUCUGUGAACUGUGCCCUUCGGGGCGUUUUAAUACAAACAUUGUGUAAUGAACGUUAUUAUUUUAACAAAACAAAACUUUCAACAACGGAUCUCUUGGCUCUC
rnacentral:misc_RNA from 1 species